rnacentral:rRNA from 1 species
UACGUAGGGGGCAAGCGUUGUCCGGAAUUAUUGGGCGUAAAGAGCGCGUAGGCGGUCCGAUAAGUCGGCUGUGAAAGUCAGGGGCUCAACCCUUGAAAGCCGGCCGAUACUGUCGGACUAGAGUCCGGAAGAGGCAAGUGGAAUUCCCGGUGUAGCGGUGAAAUGCGCAGAUAUCAAGAGGAACACCUGAGGUGAAGACGGGUUGCUGGGCUGACACUGACGCUGAGGCGCGAAAGCUAGGGUAGCAAACGGG